rnacentral:lncRNA from 1 species
ACUUAACCCUUAACAGGUUUAAUAUUGUGUAAGUGAUUGCUUAGGUAUAGUGAAUAUGACUACAACCACUGUCUUUCUUGAUGAGUUUAUGUAUAAAUAAAUAAAUGGACUUUGAAACUGGCAAAUAGGAGCUUACUAGAAGGUUCAUACUAAUGUGUACUAGUCCAAGUCUGUACACACAAAGGCAUGAGACCACAGGCAUUUCCUUCAGUUACACUUGGACAUGACUUAAUACAUUUACUUUUCUGAAACAAACUAUUUUUUGUUGUUGUUGUUUUUUUUUUUUUUUUUUUUUCGAGACAGGGUUUCUCUGUGUAGCCCUGGCUGUCCUGGAACUCACUCUGUAGAUCAGGCUGACCUCGAACUCAGAAAUCCACCUGCCUCUGCCUUCCAAGUGCUGGGGUUAAAGGAGUGCGCCACCACCGCCCAGCUUGAAACAAAUAUUUUUAACUAUAGACCAAUACAUAUUCCUCGUUUUAAAAAGCAAAACUAUAAAGGAAUGCAAAAUAACAUUAUAUAACAAUAUUAUUCUAACCUUCACAUAAAACUAUCAGUCUGGCAUGGUGGUGAUUGCUUGUAAUCCCAAAGCAAGCAUAGAGGGACUUAAAGAAAAAAAUGUUGCUGGCGGUAGUGGCACACACCUUUGGAGGCAGGAGGAAUUCUGUGAGUUUGAGGCCAGUCAAGUCUAAAGAGCAAGUUCUAAGACAGCCAGGGCUAUAUAGAGAAAUCCUGUGGGGUUUGGGGGGCAGUGAGGAGAGAAAAAAAGUUUGCCUGUUUGUCAUGUUGUUUUUACUUCUACCUUUACUAUUAAAUCAUGUAUCAUGAGUAUUCUCCCGAUGUCAUUUAUACCUAUGUGUUAGCAAUGAUAACUUUUAUGAGUAUAUACAUUUAAUUUUAAUUUGUUAAUCAGUCUUAUAGGUGGUAAUUUAGAUUUUUUCCAUUUUUUUCUUCAUUAUAGAUAAAACUUUGGCAAGUAUCUUAGUACAUAGUACACAAAUCUUUGAAUACUAGUUCAGUGCUGCCUAUUGUAUAAAUUCCUAGAAAUAAGACUGGUAGAGCAGGUAUUCUAUGAAUAUUAAAGCAAAAUUUCCAUAAUUUGAGGGGUGGAGAGAUGGUUUAGUGAAUAAGAGCACUGGCUGCUCUUUUAGGGGUCCUGGGUUUGAUUCUCAGUACCCAUGUGGAGAAACCCUGUCUCAAUAUAUAAAUGAAAUUAUUAAAAAAUACACAGGUAAGCUAGUGAGAUGGCUCAGUUGGUAAAGGUGCUUGUUACCAAGCCUGGUCACCUGAGGCCAAUCCCCCACGAUGGAAGGGGAGGACUGACUCCCACAUGCUGUUUUCUGACCUCCAUAAAUGUUCCAUGAUAUGCACAUAAGUAAGUAAAUAAAUAUAAGAACCUACAGUUUUAUGCUAUUAAAACACAAAAAUAUACUCAACCAAAAUAGAAAAAGAAAAAAUUUUAAACAAAAUUAGAACUAUACGUGAUGGAAGUCACAUUAAAGCCAAUAUUCAAGAAGCAUUUUCCAGAAGUGUAUCACCACCCUCAGCUAGACUUUUUUUUUUCAACUGUGGUAAAAUACACAUACAAUUAAAUUUAUCUUCUAUACACUUAAAUGUAUAGCUCACUAGUGAUAAGGUACAUUCACACUGUUGUGCAAACAAUCAUUAGAAUUCUUUUUAUGUUGGAAAACUGAAACUUACUCCCCCUUGGCUCCUGCCAUAGCCCCUAACAAUUACAUUUCUUCCUGUCUUAUUUGUUUAUUUGUUUGUUUGUUUGUUUUUUGAGCCAGGGUUUCUCUGUGUAUCCCUGGCUGCCCUUGAACUCACUGUGUAGACCAGGCUGCUCUCCAACUUAGAGAUUUGUCUGCCUCUGCCUCCUGACUGCUGGAUUAAAGUCGUGCACCACCACCUUCUUCCUGUCUUUAAAACAAAGCAAAAGACUGUUUAUUUCUUAUUUUGUGUCUGGAGAGGAUGCCACCCAUAAGAGGCAACUUGUAGAGUUGAUUCUGUUCUUCCAUCCUGUGGGUUUUGGGGAUUAAACUCAGGUUGUCAGCUUUAGCAGCGAGUGCCUUUACCCACUGAACCUUCUAGCUGGCCUUCUCUCUGAUUUUUUUUUUUUAAUAGAAGUUAUACAUAUCUCAUAUACGGUGGUAACACAGUGCUUGUCUUUUUGUAACUGGCUAUUUCACUUAAUAUUAUGUCCUAAAGUUGGUCUGUAUUGUAGUAUGUGUCAAGAAUUUCUUCUAAGGUUGAAUACUUUGCCAUUAAGUGUAUCUUCCACACCUAUUCAUAAUCCAUAACAUUUAAGCUGCUUUUUAUCCUUUUGCUGUUGUAAAUAAUGCUCCAAUAAACAUUCAUGUU